rnacentral:rRNA from 1 species
AGAAUCAACGCUGGCGGCGUGCCUAACACAUGCAAGUCGCACGGAGAAAGGGGAGCAAUUCCUGAGUAAAGUGGCGCACGGGUGAGUAACACGUGAAUAAUCUACCUCCGAGUGGGGAAUAACUGAGAGAAAUCUUAGCUAAUACCGCAUAACACUUACGAGUCAAAGCAGCAAUGCGCUUGGAGAGGAGUUCGCGGCCGAUUAGUUAGUUGGCGGGGUAAUGGCCCACCAAGACGAUGAUCGGUA